GAAAGGUUUUCACAUUGCAACUCAAACAUGGACGCGGGCCAGGUUAGUACUUAAUCUUCAAUAAUAUAUAAUAAUGGUACAGGGGCGCCGCGCGAUCGGGAUCGCCUCAGCAAGAAGCAGCAGAAGAAGGAUGCCAGGAAGGCGGAGAAGGCUGAGACGGUGGCGCAGCCCCAGCAACAGCAUCUGUUCAACACCGAAGACCUAUUCGCGGCCAACUAUGGUGAUGUCACCGUCGAGGUGAUUUAGUUAAAGGCCAUCUCCGACCGCUUGUGGUCCCAAAUCGGUGACCUCGACGAGUCCGCUGCGGGCUGCAAGGUGCUUAUCCGUGGAGCCUCUAUUCAACCUUGCAUCCCAUGCUAACUGCUAACAUGUUUCAAAAUUACUUAUGCAAACAAGUUGUUGUUAUCUUGUAUGACUUAUUCUAUGACUACCUAUUGCUCUUGCAUAUGUGUCUAUAAGUUGAUCCUUUGAUGACUUAUUUAUGUCUACUAAUUGAAAUUUAUAAACUUAUAUGUUAGUACUUCACGUGAGAGUUCCAAGUUCCACAAAGCUGUAUAUUCCCAUUAUAGACAUGUUAUGAAUUCAGCAUGAUCACGAGCCCAACAUCAUAAUGAGAUUAUUUGAACAUUUUUCAGGUUUUAUUUUCCUUACUUUAUUCUCAUAUGUGAUGCUUUGUUCAUUGCAAGCUAAAUCAUAAUCCAACAGGGCAACAAGAUAGCCUGCUCACUGUCUGGUAAGUGUAAGAUAUCUCAAUCUAAUUUGUGUAAAAUUAGGUUGUACUAUAGAAAGAUAAUAUUGCAACAAAAAAGCCUAAUGAAGUUUUAUAUUUUGUUUCGUGACGUAGAUAGUACAAUAGGAUGUUCAGAUGGGCCAUUUUUCAUAUAUAAAAAAGGCACAUGUUAAAUUGGCCGCAUACAAAUUGUAAUUGAGGGCACAUUUUGAUUACUGAUAGUUCUUUCUUUUCCUUCUUUUUUACUUGAGGUUACGAAGGGUGCAGGGUGUUCUGCAUGAUAGUAUGUAUUUGCUCAUUAUUAUCAAUUCCUUUAUAUUGUGAAAAUAUGAAAGAACAUGGAACCUGAAAUUGUUGUCUGGUGGCUGAUUUUCAUUUUCGAAGGCUGGUACAUAGCUCUGUUUUGACUCCAUACACCAAGGUAUUUAGACAUCCGGGUCCUCCCUUGAAUCCUUACUAUCAUGGUUAUCUUGUGUCGUCUCUAGAUCAAACUGAAUUGUGUCUAAUGCGUAGAAUCAAGGCAGCCAUCAUCCGUGGGAGUAAGACUCUAGCCACAUAAUUGCUUUAAUGAUCUAGCUUGCUACAUAAGAUCGUGAUUGUCAAGUCAAUGAAUAAUAAUAAAGUUUAUCUUGCUUUUAUAUUUAUAAGAUCAAACGCCACAAAUGAUUUGCUUUCCGAAACAGCGGCUGCAAUAUCUCAUCCCCUGACUCAUGGCAUCAUUGUAGGUUCCUUCGACGCAGACUGCACAAUCAUAGGUAUUCAUCCCUCCUCGAACAACCUACCUGCACCACAUGACUCUGAGAGAAUUUCUAACCAAGGUAGUGCAGCAGCACCAGGUGUGUAAUUUUCAAAUCACACAAAUGUUCUUGUCACACGAGUAGAAGUGUCAAUCCUAAAAACGAGAAUACAACCAAAUGAUGAAGCUCAACAGGAAGUGCAGACUCGGUCUAUUCCUGAUCCAAGGGAGGUUGCAGGAUGUCUGUUGCAUAUGUUGCUCCAACAAAGUCGUCCUAUGCUAUGUCUCAUCCUUUGGCAUAUCAUCAUGAGGAUGUGAAUUCCACAGGAAGGCCCAUGUGAUCCUAUUGCUCCCUUAGAUCUUCCACAUUUUUUACAGUCUUUCCACCGUGUAUCAGCUUGUGACUCAAUAUGGAAGGAUACCAGUAUACCACACAUUCUGUGGAGGAUUCUGGAAUUAUUUUAGCUUGGAUUUGCAAAAGAUCAAGUUGAGGAAGUGCCUAGCAUCAGAGUCGAUGGAAGGUGAAUAAAAAUUUAGCCAUUGAGAGGAUCCAGAUAUUUCAAUACUUGACAGUGAAUAGAGAGCAGUAAACAAGAUUUAAUGGGCACUCCUUUGAUGUACCCUUUAUCAUCUUUUGAGUUCUGACAGUGUAGAGUAGAGAUGCCUGGUGAUUGCCUCUUUGUAGAUACUCUUCCUAUUGCAUGUGUAUAAACUUCAGAGAUACUAGAUUUGGGUUUAGUCAUUUCAUGUAUUUAGUUCAUUUAUUAAGUUUCAUGAUUUA